GACGAACGCUGGCGGCAUGUCUAACCUAUGCAAGUCGAACGGGGGACGUCUGGAGUCUUCGGACGAAAGGGUUCUUAGUGGCGAACGGGUGAGUAACGCGUGAACAACCAACCCUGUACAGGGGGAGUAACUUUGGGAAACCAGAGCUAAUACCGCAUGAGACCACGGGGCCGCAUGGUCCAGGGGUUAAAGGAGCAAUCCGGUACAGGACGGGUUCGCGUCCCAUUAGGUAGUAGGCGGGGUAACGGCCCACCUAGCCGACGAUGGGUAGCCGAGCUGAGAGGCUGAUCGGCCACACUGGGACUGAGAUACGGCCCAGACUCCUACGGGAGGCAGCAAGGAAGAAUAUUGGUCAAUGGGGGAAACCCUGAACCAGCAAUGCCGCGUGAAGGAAGAAGGCCUUCGGGUUGUAAACUUCUGUGACGGGGGACGAAGCAAGUGACGGUACCCCGAGAGGAAGCCCCGGCAAACUACGUG
rnacentral:rRNA from 1 species